rnacentral:piRNA from 1 species
UUGGGCUGACAGUGCAUGCUGUGC